CGGCCUGAGGGGCGGAAGAUGGCAGGUGGCCAGUUGCGUGCCUCGAGCGCGCCGCUGGUUGUUAGCCGUUCCGUCAGUGGCUCGUCGCCCGACCGAGGUGUCGCUAGGCCCUUCGGGGCCCGGUCGCCUCCUCCCCGUGGAAGUCGUGACAGGGCGUGGCAGGUGAAGGCUACCGUCGGCCGCACUCUUACGGAGUGGUCCGGCGAGCAGUCGUCUCCGUUGGCCGCGACGGGCACGUCGGAGGUCGGAGGCUUGCGGCGAGUAGGUCGGUCACCCACCCGACCCGUCUUGAAACACGGACCAAGGAGUCUAACAUGUGCGCGAGUCAAUGGGUCUUGAACAGGCCCAGGGGCGCAAUGAAAGCAAAGGUCGGCUCCCGUCGACCGAGUUGGGAUCCCUCACCUUCGGUGGGGGCGCACCAACGACCCGUCCUGUGCUGUUCGCAGCUUAG
rnacentral:rRNA from 1 species